rnacentral:rRNA from 1 species
CCUACGGGUGGCAGCAGUGGGGAAUAUUGGGCAAUGGAGGCAACUCUGACCCAGCAACGCCGCGUGAAUGAUGAAGGUCUUCCGAUUGUAAAGUUCUUUUCUCAGGGAAGAAGAAAGUGACGGGCCCUUAGGCAUAAGCCUCGGCUAACUACGUGCCAGCAGCCGCGGUAAUCCGGAGGAGGCAAGCGUUAUCCGGAAUGACUGGGCGUAAAGGGUGCGUAGGUGGUUUGACAAGUUAGUAGCGAAACUCCGGAGCUCAACUUCGGAACUACUACUAAAACUGUGGGACUUGAGUGCGGGAGAGGCAAGCGGAAUGCCUAGUGUAGCGGUGGAAUGCGUAGAUAUUAGGAGGAACACCAGUGGCGAAGGCGGAGUACUAGACUGUAACUGACACUGAGGCACGAAAGCGUGGGGAGCAAACAGGAUUAGAUACCCCUGUAGUC